rnacentral:piRNA from 1 species
UGUGAAGUUGGGAUAGGUAUC